rnacentral:tRNA from 1 species
GAAAGGAUGGCUGAUAAAUUUAAGGUUAAAAAUUGUAAAUUUUUAUAUGAUAUUAUAAUAUCUCUUUUCA